CACGAGUAUUACAGUGCUACAGAAACCGAAGCAAUGGUUGGUCAAAAGUUGUGUGCACAGACUCUGGUGAUGUCGGCGGUCAUGCUGAUUGCCCUAAUGAUGAUGACCGUCCCAGCAGACGCCCAGAGCACCACGACCACAACGGAGGGAUCGGCGCUGAUAGACCUCGACCUGGGUGGUCUCGUUGGCGAUCUAGGAGGAACCGUCGGAGACCUCGUUGGAGGGGGCGUUUUACACGUAAGCCGCGCAGGGGCAGCCCGAUCUGCUUCAUCGGCCCACAGCCGGGCCAAGAGGACACACUCAUAGACACAGGGAAGCUACCAACGACUGUCUCAAUUUUCCCUGAGAUUUUAUAACUUUGCAAAAUGUUAGUGAUGUAAGAUGGAUGUAAAUAAAGCCUAGAUAUGAUGCUUACAA